UACCACAGUCAUAUCACCCUACAGCCCAAGACUGGUUGCCCACUGAAGCUAAGCAGGGUUGAGCCUGGUCAGUACCUGGAUGGGAAACCUCCUGGGAAAAUUAGGUUGCUGUUGGAA
rnacentral:rRNA from 1 species